GUCUAUAUGAAUUAAAUUUAAAGUCUAAUCUGCCCACUGAAUAUUAAUUGAAGGGCCGCAGUACUUUAACUGUGCUAAGGUAGCAUAAUAAAUUGCCUUUUAAUUGGGGGCUGGGAUGAAUGGUUGGACAAAAUACAAGCUGUCUUUUUUAUAAAAUGUGAAUUUUACUUUUAAGUGAAAAGGCUUAAAUAAUUUAAGGGGACGAUAAGACCCUUUAAAGCUUAAUGAGAUUAAUGUAAUUUAUAAUUUAUAGUAUCAAAGGUAUUAUGUUAUUUCUUGUUUCGUUGGGGCGAUGAAGAUAGAAUCUGUAACUGUUAAAGGUAUAAGAUAGUUAUAACUAGAGAUUAAGAUCCUUGAAUUUAAAGAUUAAAAGAAAAAGUUACUUAAGGGAUAACAGCGUGAUUUUUUUAGAGAGUUCUUAUUGAAGAAAGUAGUUGCGACCUCGAUGUUGAAUUAAGAUAGAGUUAAGAUGCAGCUUUUUUGAUGAUAAGUCUGUUCGACUUUUAAAAUCUUACAUGAUUUGAGUUCAGACCGGCGUGAG
rnacentral:rRNA from 1 species